rnacentral:rRNA from 1 species
UACGUAGGGGGCAAGCGUUGUCCGGAUUUACUGGGCGUAAAGCGCGUGUAGGCGGAAGCGAAAGUCCGGUGUGAAAGCCCCCGCUCAACGGGGGAAGGUCGCUGGAAACUGCGCUUCUUGAGGGCGGCAGAGGGAAGUGGAAUUGCUGGUGUAGCGGUGAAAUGCGUAGAGAUCAGCAGGAACACCCGUGGCGAAGGCGGCUUCCUGGGCCGCGCCUGACGCUGAGACGCGAAAGCGUGGGGAGCGAACGGG